rnacentral:rRNA from 1 species
GCGAAUCGAUGGGAGCUUGCUCCCUGAGAUUAGCGGCGGACGGGUGAGUAACACGUGGGCAACCUGCCUAUAAGACUGGGAUAACUUCGGGAAACCGGAGCUAAUACCGGAUACGUUCUUUUCUCGCAUGAGAGAAGAUGGAAAGACGGUUUACGCUGUCACUUAUAGAUGGGCCCGCGGCGCAUUAGCUAGUUGGUGAGGUAAUGGCUCACCAAGGCGACGAUGCGUAGCCGACCUGAGAGGGUGAUCGGCCACACUGGGACUGAGACACGGCCCAGACUCCUACGGGAGGCAGCAGUAGGGAAUCUUCCGCAAUGGACGAAAGUCUGACGGAGCAACGCCGCGUGAACGAAGAAGGCCUUCGGGUCGUAAAGUUCUGUUGUUAGGGAAGAACAAGUACCAGAGUAACUGCUGGUACCUUGACGGUACCUAACCAGAAAGCCACGGCUAACUACGUGCCAGCAGCCGCGGUAAUACGUAGGUGGCAAGCGUUGUCCGGAAUUAUUGGGCGUAAAGCGCGCGCAGGUGGUUCCUUAAGUCUGAUGUGAAAGCCCACGGCUCAACCGUGGAGGGUCAUUGGAAACUGGGGAACUUGAGUGCAGAAGAGGAAAGUGGAAUUCCAAGUGUAGCGGUGAAAUGCGUAGAGAUUUGGAGGAACACCAGUGGCGAAGGCGACUUUCUGGUCUGU